rnacentral:lncRNA from 1 species
AGAGUAUCAAAGGUUUUGUUGAAAAAUACACAAAUUAUAAAUAAAUCAUUCUCUUUUAUCUAAAAUUGUCUGUAGGGCAUCCAUUUCCCAGAUCACUGGGCAGUCUAUACCUUAGCUGUCUGAAAAGAGCUAAUAACUCUCAUCAUGGUUGCAUGUUAGUUUUGAUGGGUUAUUACAUACAUUACCAAAGUAGGACAGAAUUGUGACAUUUUUUCCCUUCUCAUCCGUCUCUUUAUACUAAUGAUUCAAAAUGAUUCAAAAGUAUACAUUGAAUCUACAGUCUGGCCUUUAAUCAAAUUUUAUUAAGUUUUAGCUUUUGUUAUGCAGGACAUAAAAUGCUGGAUAUGGAAAAAAAAAAAAAAAAAAAAAAAGGUCAUGAAGAUUUAUGAAUAUUUUUCUGUCAUUCUGGUGGAAAAUGAAGUAUCUAUCCAAUUGCUUGAUUGUCCUCUGCAUCUUCAAGUUUAUAGUAAAAGAUUUCCAAAAAGCUGAUGAUGAUUUAUUGCCUAAUGAAUGACUAGAGGAUGAAGAUGUCUAAACGAAAACAAAAUACUAAUGAUGGGACGAGCAGUGCUCCAAGUACUGUAGUGCUUUGCAUCACAGUGAUGUUCAGGAGAACUGUGAACCAUGGACAUAUGCAUACACCAGUUAUGCCUCAUCAACAUCAAAAGUCACACUUGGGAGGCCUAGGUAAAUGAAAGCUUCCAAGCACAGAAAGAAUGUGGGUUUCCAGGAAAAAAUCCUCAUUGCUUCAAAAGGUAAAGUGAUGAUUGCUGAUUUUGCACAUAACUGUCGGCCUGCUUCCCUUGUUUUUUACACUGUCAAGUAAAGUGUGGCUGUGUUCACUGGAAAUACAGAGAAGAAAAGUGGAAAGGAAAAUAUGUAGUACAAAAAAUACUGAAGUGUUUGUUGACUGAAGGUGGAA